ensembl:lncRNA
UGCUUUAAAGAGAGACUAAAGGCUGGUGAGGUUUGAAAUCCAAAGAGAAAGCAAGCUCUGGGAUCUGGUUUUUGUUUGGCUGAUCUGGCUUCAUUAGCACCCGCUGCAUCUCCCGGGAGGAAGCACAGAGGGGACGCAGAUUCAUGUCAACAGAUAAACAGCCUAUAACUAGUUGCAUCACGCCAGGUCUUCAGUUUUCAUUGCACCACGUGGGAUCUACUUCCAUGACGAGAGAUCGAACCCGGCCCUCUGCACUGGGAGCAUGGAGUCUUAGCCACUGGACCACCAGAGAAGUCUCCAUAUGUCAUCUUUUUUACAUGAAAUAAAUUUCUAGCAUAACAAAAUGUCCUAGGCUCCUCUGGAACUUUUUCAGACCUGAAAUCAAUUGUUUUAUCAAGAAGCCUGGUUCUUUUAGCGGGGAAUGACAUUUAGAAACCAGUAUCUGGGCACUCAACAGGUGUCUUUUACUGAGACUCUCUUUCUCUUUGAAUGUCUAGAAAAUGUCUUCAUUUUGCCCUAAUGCUUGAAUGAGUUUGACUAGUGAAACAAAUUCUAAGUUAGCAAUUCCUUUUCCUCAGCGCUUUGAAAAUAGCAUUGUUGUCUGGCAUGAUAAGAAAUUUGCUGUCCGUCUAAUCGUCUCUUCUGUAUAGUAAUCUUUUCUUCCAUGAUGGCUAUUAAACCUUUUUCUUUAUACUUAUUAUUGUACAAUUUCACUUCAAUGUAACCAGAUGUGAAUUUAUUUUUACUUAUCUUGCUUGAUACUCACCAUGUACGUUUCAUAUGGAGACUCAUAUUUUUCUUCAAUUCUAAAAAACUUUCAACUAUUUUUAUAGCUUUAUUGAGAUAUAAUUUACAUACCAUUAAAU